AUGCGGACUGCGUAGAUGACCAGUCGCCUACGAUGACAGCAGGGCAAUUGCAAAAUCCAAUCAUAUCACCUGAUGCUGAUAUAACACGCACCUGUUGCUAGGGUUGACGAGUCAGUUGACGGUGUUGUACAUAUCAUAUGUGACAUUUGACAACCGUGUCGCUCUCUCGGCCCAGCUACUGGUAUAUAUAGAGUCAGGCACAGAUCUGGAAGAGAACAUCACAGACCAUCUGCUACAUAAGACGAGCUCACGAGAACCUCACAGAGCAUCAGCUACAUAAGACCAACUCACGAGAACAUCACAGAGCAUCUGCUACAUAAGACCAGCUCUCGAGAACAUCACAGAGCAUCAGCUACAUAAAACCAGCUCACGAGAACAUCACAGACCAUCUGCUACAUAAGAUCAGCUCUCGAGAACAUCACAGAGCAUCAGCUACAUAAGACCAGCUCACCAGAACAUCACAGAGCAUCUGCUACAUAAGACCAGCUCUCGAGAACAUCACAGAGCAUCAGCUACAUAAGACCAGCUCACGAGAACAUCACAGAGCAUCAGCUACAUAAGACCAGCUCACCAGAACAUCACAGAGUAUCAGCUACAUAAGACCAGCUCACGAGAACAUCACAGAGCAUCUGCUACAUAAGACCAGCUCUCGAGAACAUCACAGAGCAUCCGCUACAUAAGACCAGCUCACGAGAACAUCACAGACCAUCAGCUACAUAAGACCAGCUCACGAGAACAUCACAGAUCAUCAGCUACAUAAGACCAACUCACGACAACAUCACAGAGCAUCAGCUACAUAAGACCAGCUCACGAGAACAUCACAGAGCAUCAGCUACAUAGGACCAGCUCACGAGAACAUCACAGACCAUCAACUACAUAAGACCAGCUCACGAGAUCACAGAGCAUCAGCUACAUAAGACCAGCUCACGAGAACAUCACAGACCAUCUGCUACAUAAGACCAGCUCACGAGAACAUCACAGAGCAUCAGCUACAUAAGACCAGUUCACAUCAACGGCGUGUCGCUGUCAGCUUGUAUCCUACUAGACAUCAUCAGUACUACGACAUCAUCAACAACGUCAACAUCAUCGUUGUUCAUCAGUUGUGAUCGUCAUGACAACGCAAUCAAUGCAACAGUUAUCUGCCUCUCUGGAGAAGGUCCUCUCACCGUCAUCAGACGUGGUGAAUGUCACGCAGUCUCCAGCUACAACAUCAACAGCACCAGUAGCGACACCUGAACCCACGUCAGCCGCAACGACGUCCAAAACGGCCCCAAACGUUUACGAGUCGUUUCCUCCGUUACCAACAACUCCGCCACAACUCGAUACUGAAAGGAGCCGCUUCAGUUUCUGGACUGAAUACAACAGCAUUGUACUGAACAUGUCAUAUAUGAACGAAUAUCCGCUGAUGUCUUUAUGAACAGAAUAGGUUACACACACUCAUGGUGGUUAAGACAAGAGAAUUUGCCUCACUGGCCGUUUUUCAUUGGACCAACACACUGCAGGUUGAACCAUAAUAUUAAUUUUAUUAAGAUUUUAAAGGGUGAGUGGGUAUGGUUUUAGCAAUAUUCCAGCAAUAUCACGACGGGGGACACCAGAAAUUGGCAUCAUACAUUAUAUCUAUAUAGGGAGUCGAACCCGUGUCUUCGGCGUGACGAGAGAUCGCUUUAACCACAAAGCUACCCAACGACCCCACAGAUGUGUGAUACUCCAAUGUAGCUUGAAAUACGUGGCUCUAGGAAAUCCUUGUCCACAUUUUUCAUAUGAAGUGCACGUGACCAACUUUUUCAUAUUAAAUGCCGUGACCAACUUUUUCAUAUCUUUCAUUUCAUCGUCAUUAUCCCGUUUAUAUUUAAAAUUACAUCUUCCUGAGACCAGAUCACCCCAUUAAUGUAUCAUUUCCUAUCUCAUAAACAGCCCGCCCAGCUUCCGUUGUUUAAUAUACAACACGACAUAUUAAUCUUUUCACUGUUUACGUUUAAAUCAUAAACUUCAGAACAUGACAUCGUCAUUUCCUACCAUUCUGCUUCUCAAACACGACACAUCUCAUUGUUUUAAUUCAUAGAAUGUCUUAUCUACCACUUCCAUCGAGCUCGUCCCAUCUUUACUUCCUGCAUCCCAACAUUGUGUAUUCUCGAUGACCUUGCCAAGCAUGCGAGCACGCGCGUGAGACACGUGUCCAUGUAUACAGACUAGAGCACGUGUUUUGUACCCCGUGUUUCUGGGUAAGAACAACAAGCACGGGUAAUCUGUGAUCUGAGGCUCAUAGACAGAAAACUGUGUGACGGGAAGAUCUAACCUUCGUGUUUGUUGACCUAUCGGAAACUGAUCUAGACAGAGAGAAGGCAGUGUUCUUUUGUGAGUAUCCGUUGACAGAACAACCGCAACUCUACACCAGACAUGGAAGUAGUGCAUCAUGUCGCCAUGACCAGUGUUCAGUGAUUGUACUUAUACAGCUACACAGUCAUAGGUCAAGGAUACUCCCGGCCAGAUGACCACCACUACACACGAGUGAGUUAUUUUACGCCGCUUUAUCAAUAUUGUGAUAAUAUCACGGCGUGAGACACCACAGAGGCUUCUCACGUUUGAACAAUUUUACCACUAUGCUAUCCCACUGCCUCAGAAAAUAUACAUGAAGAUCCCUUUACAUUUUUAUAGACGUAUUUGAAUAUAUUGUUUGACAGCUGGUUCUUUAUUUAACUAUACCACACAAAUAAAAGUGAAGGAUCCCCCGAUUCUUUCAUAUUACGGUAGUUCAUCUGUCAAGACAGAGUAGUAUAAAAAACAGUUUCAAAGGGUUGUCGUUGUUGUUGGUUUGUUGUUUAACGCCGCACUCAGCAAUAUUCCAGCUAUAUGA
rnacentral:lncRNA from 1 species